rnacentral:tRNA from 1 species
GGUGGCCGAGCGGUUAAGGCGCCAGCCUCGAGAGCUGGUGUGCGCAAGCACUCGUGGGUUCGAAUCCCACCCUCG